UACGGGGGGGGUAAGCGUUGUUCGGAAUUACUGGGCGUAAAGGGCUCGUAGGCGGCCAACUAAGUCAUACGUGAAAUCCCUCAGCUUAACCGGGGAACUGCGUCUGAUACUGGAUGGCUUGAGUUCGGGAGAGGGAUGCGGAAUUCCAGGUGUAGCGGUGAAAUGCGUAGAUAUCUGGAGGAACACCGGUGGCGAAGGCGGCAUCCUGGACCGAUACUGACGCUGAGGAGCGAAAGCCAGGGGAGCAAACGGG
rnacentral:rRNA from 1 species